rnacentral:rRNA from 1 species
CAGCCGCCACGGGAAUACGUAUGUCGCGAGCGUUAUCCGGAAUUAUUGGGCAUAAAGGGCAUCUAGGCGGCCUAACAAGUCAGGGGUGAAAACCUGCGGCUCAACCGCAGGCCUGCCUUUGAAACUGUAAGGCUGGAGUACCGGAGAGGUGGACGGAACUGCACGAGUAGAGGUGAAAUUCGUAGAUAUGUGCAGGAAUGCCGAUGAUGAAGAUAGUCCACUGGACGGAAACUGACGCUGAAGUGCGAAAGCCGGGGGAGCGAACAGGAUUAGAUACCCGAGUAGUCCCUGUCUCUUAUAC